UACGUAGGGAGCAAGCGUUGUCCGGAAUCAUUGGGCGUAAAGCGCGCGUAGGUGGCCUCAUAAGUCCGCUGUGAAAGUCCAAGGCUCAACCUUGGAAAGCCGGUGGAUACUGUGAGGCUAGAGUACGGAAGAGGCGAGUGGAAUUCCAGGUGUAGCGGUGAAAUGCGUAGAUAUCUGGAGGAACACCAGUGGCGAAAGCGCGAUACUGGGCCGUAACUGACGCUGAGGAACGAAAGCCAGGGGAGCAAAAGGG
rnacentral:rRNA from 1 species